GAUAAGGUUUCUACACACAGCACACACACCUGCCAUCUGGCUGAAAGAGCACUAGUUCCAUUUCUCAUGUCAUUUUGUGUGUGGACAGGCUGCACGUAGCAGGCUCUGAGGCAGCUAUUAUGGAGAAGCUGCUUAGGGGGACCAGGAUAUUCAAUGCCACUGACCUGCAAAGGAUCAGAGGUCAUUUGCUCCAGAUGGCUUCUAAUGCAAAGCAGCUCCCUUGGGCCACCAAAAUGACGUUGUGAUUCCCUCUGGCCCUGGCUCUUCUGACCCAGGGGUUGCUGCAUCAGCUGAAGGAAGUGGAGCCCUGAUGUAAUGCUUUGGAUAUUCCAGCCAAACAAGCACUGGUCCUACUGAAAAAUGAGCUUGUCUCAUUAUCCACCUUGAUUAAAUUUAUCAGAUAAUGUC